CCUAAACAUCCAUCUGCUGGAAGUGGCAAUUGUGUGUGGAAUUUCAGGAAUGGCUCGGUUUGGGCUGAGUUGGCUGAAAGACCUAUCCUUAGGAAGUUAGAAACCACUACUUAGUAAGGCUGGGAUCAUAGCAGAAAUCCAUUAAUUGUGUCUUUGGGGAUCAGAGAAGACAAGGGCAUUAAAGCAGCCAUCUACAUAGGAAGACACGCAAGUGUGUUUGCUCUGUUUCCUCCCAGGGGAGGAAGAGAUGGAGAGGUGGUUCCAUGCUCAAGACCACAUACUGCUCUUUCAGAGGACCAGAGUUUGAUUCCUAACACCCAUAUUAGGUGGAUCACAACUAUCCAGCUCCAACGGAUCCGACACCUUCUUCUGGAGUCUGCAGGGACUUACACUCAUGUUUGCACAAACCCACACAUGCACAUAAUCAAAAAUAAAAAUAGAAACCUUUUAUA